rnacentral:tRNA from 1 species
ACCCUGGUGGUCCAGGGGCUAAGACUCUACACUCCCAAUGCAGGGUGCCCAGGUUCAAUCCCUGGCCAAGGAA